AUCACCGUUCCAGUGGCAUUUAAAUUCCGAGCGCUCCUCCAUCAAGGUGACGCGGAGCCACCACCACCUCCUCUCGCCCCCCCCCCGUCCCCCCUCCCCCUUAGCCAGUGGAUUGGGGCUUCAGAGCCGGGGCCAGAGAGACAGUGUGAGCCCAGGCGCUCAGCCUGCAGCAGCUGACGCGGAGGCGCCUCUGCAGGGGGGUGGAGGGGGGGGUGCUCCUGCUGCAUGGAUUACAGGGCUCGGAGACCCAGCUGGAGGAACCCAGCCUGGCGAACAGUGUGUGGAUUUAUGCAGAUGCACUUCAACUUUGGCAGAUUUUGCAUUGUCACCAUGCCCGAUUGAUUGUUGUUUGUAUUUUAAAAUAUAAAGGGCUAUUUCCGCCUUGACUCUCCAGCCCCCUCCCUCCAGCCACCCACACAUACUAAGUGCAACAUCCUCUUCCAAGUGAUAAGCCACCAAAAGUGUCCGAGGCUCCUAUUAGGCCACCCAUGUAUCCAUUUCACCUCCACAGCCCCCCACUGACGCCACCAAAAAACGAAUAUAUGUUCCCCCGUCCCAAGUGUAUCCAUAAAAAGAUUUGUCCUUCUAUUUUACAGUUUACAAACAUGCCUAGAUAACAGCCGUUUGAAAACUUUCGAUUUCUUAAAAUCCGUGGGAGUGGGAAGUGCAGCAAGCAUAUAUGGAACGAUGCUCAACCUUUUUUGGCUGCAAUAUUGUCUUAUUUAAUUCUUGUCAAUCAGUUGUGAUAAGUGCUGUAUAAAUCAGGUGCAAACACAGGCUGGUGUAUCUGUUUACUAUAAAAGAGAUGGCUUUUUCCAGGGUGUUUUUUUUCACUACUUUAACGAUUAACAAAACUGUUUAGUAUACCGUAUAUGUAUAAUUUAUUUAUAAACAUAGUUGAUGUUAUACCAUCACAUUAAAAGAACAGAAUUGUUUACUAAAAGAACAGCAAACUUCUCUCUAUUUAAAAUCAACAUAUCUGCAAAUCUAUCUGCACAUAGAAUUCCUCUAUAUAUAUUUACCCGUAAUUUUCGCCAAAUAACAGCUCCUCUGCUUCCUUUAAAUUGUUUCCCUUCAUUUCUGUACUAUUGUUUUGAAGAAAUCCGCGUCUUUUGUUACAUUCUCUCUCCUCUAAUGCCUCGAAUUCUGCUGCCAUUACAGAGCCUCAGUGCAACAUAAUGGGAAGGGGACACAUCACGGGUAAAUACCUCUUCAUCCCCCCAACGAGAAAAGUUGCCAUCGGACACGGUCGCAAAUGCACACAAAAUUCAGAGCUGUGCUAUUUUAAAAGUCAAACCUUUCUGCUAGCCCCCACCCUGCCUCCUUUGUUGCUUCGGUCCAUCGUGGCUUGCAGAAAGUCGAGUUUGCAUCUCCAGCAAUUCAAGCCUUUGAAGCAUUUCUGCUGCCUGAUGCACAUUCUUGGGACAUUCCCCAAAUAAUACGCUAUGUGUCUCCCCCCCCCACACACACACACACAAGAUUUAGAGGUUACAAUGAGCUUCUUAGAGAAAUUCUAUCUCAGAUAGAUUCGCAGAUAUUGAUUUUAAAUAUAUCCUGAGAGACGUUUACUGGUCUUUUACUAAACAAUUCUGUUCAUUUAAGAUGCUAUGACAUCACUCUGUAUAUAUAUCAUAUAUAAAUAUCUAAAAGCCAAUCAUAUAUUAACAAUUAAAUCGCAUUGGAACCCUGUAACAUGCGUUAAAAUACUCGACGAAACUGUCCUCUGACCAAAGCGAAAGUGCUGAAGCAGCGAAAGAAAAGAAGCAGGGCCGAGGUUUUUGCGGCAUCCGCAGCUUAGCCAAUCUGUUGUUUUAAACGAGCAAUAAAAAUGAAUUAUGACUAAACGCCUUCGAACUUAAUGGUUUUAGACGGGGAUCCCCGGCUUCGGCAAAUGCGUAAGAGGAUUUUUAUUUGUGCAUGUGUUCCUGCCAUUGAUCUCUUUGAUGACAUUCUCAUUCAUAGAAAGAGUGUGAUUUAUGAGUUUAGGAAGAAUUGCAUCCAACCCCUUCCAGCUAUUGCCCACGCAUCUCAGCUCCACAACGUGUUGCGGAUCAGAGAAACAACACACCUCAAAUGAAAUGGAAACAAACAUACUUGAGACAAAUGAAUCCAUUCACUGUGUUUCAGAAAUAUUCCGGAAUACUCAAAAUCAAGGGUCGACGGAUAUGUGGGCAGCAAAACUGCCUGCUAGCAUCUGUUGCUUGGUUUUAGAAGAAUAAAAAACGCUCACCUUCUGAACUGGGUGAUUAAUAUCGAUAAUAUUCUUACCAAAUUAGCUGGAAUUUUUAAUGUGCUUCUGCUGUAAUUGAGGAAGUAACACAUUUUGGACAGUGGGCCGCUGAACUGGCUCCAUUGAAAUUUAAACAUGUUAACCAUUAGCUUCCAGUUUUAAUGAUUAACCCUUGGCAUCGCAAACCGGUUUAAAACGAAAGGGAUUUUUUUGUUAUGGGACCCCCGCAGAAAUCUCUGAAAGAAUGGCUCUAAGAACUUAAGUCCGUCCUAAAUGUAUUUUUACACAUAAUAACAUUUUUUUUAUUUCCUCUCUUUUUUAGAUUUAUUUUCUUGGGACCUUUCAGCACAUGGGAGCUAAUCCAAGGCGUACUUUGUUAGCAUUUGUAUUUUUAAAGAAGUGUUUCAGAAAACGACUUGCUGGACACCUAAGCGUUGAGUUAUAGAAAAAUACGAUGCUUGAAAUGAGUCAGUUUCUAUAGCAGGCACGUUCCCCAUUUACAAUAGAUUCUAUUUUGUCUGUAACCGCAAAGCUGCAUAUAUAUGGUGUUUGUCACAGUUUAGAAAAUGCAAGACUUGUAUUCACACAUAGAAUAACGUUUGAUGUGUACAUUAAAAGGAAGAAAUCUUUAUGUGAACUCUGUGGGUGUUUUAGUUAUAUUUGUUUGUGAGAAUCAUCGGGUACUUUGAUUUGACUUAUGAGAACCUUUGCAAUAAAGAAUUUAAAUGUGAUUUUUUUCUCUCUAAUAAAUAUAUUAAAUUACCAAAA